UUCAAGAGGUCACAGUUGCUCCAUUGAUGUGCAUAGCUUAUUGUCACAUAUCAGUUAUGGUUGAAAAGGACAGUAAAAAUUGUGGAAAAAGUAUUGGUGAUUAAAAAGUAAAAAUUCACACGCAAAAAAUAUCCAGAUAUUGUCAGAAAGCAUAAGAUGUUGGGAUGAAGUGUACAUUUAAGACAAUGAAAUAAAAUUCAUGUCUUCAA